ACAGAGGGGGCAAGCGUUAUUCGGAAUUAUUGGGCGUAAAGGGCGCGUAGGCGGCUUGGCAAGUGGAAGGUGAAAUCCCUCGGCUUAACCGAGGAACUGCCUUCCAGACUGCUUUGCUUGAGGCCGGGAGAGGUAAGUGGAAUUCCCAGUGUGGCGGUGAAAUGCGUAGAUAUUGGGAGGAACACCAGAGGCGAAGGCGGCGCUCUGGCUCGCAACUGACGCUCAGACACGACAGCAUGGGGAGCGAACGGGA
rnacentral:rRNA from 1 species